UUGUGGCUGAGUGGCAAAGCGCUUGGCGUCCAAACCGAGAGAUUCCGGGUUCAAAUCUCGGCGA
rnacentral:tRNA from 1 species